UACGGAGGGUGCAAGCGUUAUCCGGAUUCACUGGGUUUAAAGGGUGCGUAGGCGGGUAAGUAAGUCCGUGGUGAAAUCUCUGAGCUUAACUCAGAAACUGCCGUGGAUACUAUUUUGCCUUGAAUAUUGUGGAGGUGAGCGGAAUAUGUCAUGUAGCGGUGAAAAUGCUUAGAUAUGACAUAGAACACCGAUAGCGAAGGCAGCUUGCUACACAAAUAAUUGACGCUGAGGCACGAAAGCGUGGGGAUCAAACAGG
rnacentral:rRNA from 1 species